CCUUGAAUGAGUGGCAGACAGCGAUCGUUCGUUCACAGAUAUAGUUAUUGCGAUAAUGGAGGAGGAGUAAGGUAAAUGGUAUUUGAAUCAAAGGGAAUCCCAGGGCAAGAUCGUGAACUUAAUCAACACAGCGCUGAGAUUACGACCAGCA